rnacentral:rRNA from 1 species
UUGUACACACCGCCCGUCACACCAUGAGAGUUUGUAACACCCAAAGCCGGUGCGGUAACCUUUUAGGAGCCAACCGUCUAAGGUGGGACAGAUGAUUAGGGUGAAGUCGUAACAAGGUAGCCGUAGGAGAACCUGCGGCUGGAUCACCUCCUUUCU